GGAAUUUACACUUAUCUGGACUGGAGAAUGGAUGAUUUCAUUUUUUGGGACUGCAGUAUUCACUGCUUUUUUUGUGAAAUGUCAAGAUUAAUUUAUUUUUAGGGAAUCCAGAUUACAACCACUCCCAUCCCUUCUUUCUAUGUAAAUUGUUAAAUUUGAUAAUAAGAUACAUAUUUCAAGAUUCAGUUAGUAUAUACUAAAAUGAGAACAGGAAUUAAUAGAAAAUAAGACAGACCAAUUCAGACUCUAUUAUUGUAAAAAUAAAUAUACAAAAAAGAUUUAAUAGCACAUGGUCCAGAUAACAUUACCCAGCAUACACAAAAAUCCAGCAAGUUGAAACUUAUUUAACUUAGCUCAAGUUUAUUCAAGGACCUGUUAGCUCAUUGAUUGUAAUAUGUCCAUAUGAGAUAUUGUCAUCUGACGACUUUCAUUGUCUGUCAUCUCGGGGUAUUCCUGUAAUCUUUAUCAAUUUUUUUCCUUUGUAAAAUUAAAAAUAAUAAUUUACAUUCAGGACCAGUUUCAUCAAAAAAUAAAACCUCCAGGGAAUUAUGCCCCUUUGAAUUUUAAAUAUAUUAAAUUAAAAAAAAAAACAAUAUCACUCUGAGGGCUCUCACAUGUACACCUUCCUUUGAUAUUGAAGUGUAAAAAAAAUUAUGUCAA
rnacentral:lncRNA from 1 species